UAGACAGAUGCCCAUCGGUUGGGGCGUUUAACUGUUAAUUAAAAGUUUGUAGGAUCGAAGCCUUCCUGUCUAG
rnacentral:tRNA from 1 species